rnacentral:ncRNA from 1 species
GCUUCGGGGCAGGGUGAAAUUCCCGACCGGCGGUACAGCCCGCGAGCACACGUCCGUGUGCAGACAUGGUUAGAUUCCAUGGCCGACAGUAAAGUCUGGAUGAGAGAAGU